rnacentral:rRNA from 1 species
GGGGCUACACAUGCAAGUCGAGCGGUAGCACAAGGGAGCUUGCUCCCUGGGUGACGAGCGGCGGACGGGUGAGUAAUGUCUGGGAAACUGCCUGAUGGAGGGGGAUAACUACUGGAAACGGUAGCUAAUACCGCAUAACGUCUUCGGACCAAAGUGGGGGACCUUCGGGCCUCACGCCAUCAGAUGUGCCCAGAUGGGAUUAGCUAGUAGGUGGGGUAAUGGCUCACCUAGGCGACGAUCCCUAGCUGGUCUGAGAGGAUGACCAGCCACACUGGAACUGAGACACGGUCCAGACUCCUACGGGAGGCAGCAGUGGGGAAUAUUGCACAAUGGGCGCAAGCCUGAUGCAGCCAUGCCGCGUGUGUGAAGAAGGCCUUCGGGUUGUAAAGCACUUUCAGCGAGGAGGAAGGGUGAUGUCUUAAUACGGCAUCGCAUUGACGUUACUCGCAGAAGAAGCACCGGCUAACUCCGUGCCAGCAGCCGCGGUAAUACGGAGGGUGCAAGCGUUAAUCGGAAUUACUGGGCGUAAAGCGCACGCAGGCGGUUUGUUAAGUCAGAUGUGAAAUCCCCGCGCUUAACGUGGGAACUGCAUUUGAAACUGGCAAGCUAGAGUCUCGUAGAGGGGGGUAGAAUUCCAGGUGUAGCGGUGAAAUGCGUAGAGAUCUGGAGGAAUACCGGUGGCGAAGGCGGCCCCCUGGACGAAGACUGACGCUCAGGUGCGAAAGCGUGGGGAGCAAACAGGAUUAGAUACCCUGGUAGUCCACGCUGUAAACGAUGUCGAUUUGGAGGUUGUGCCCUUGAGGCGUGGCUUCCGGAGCUAACGCGUUAAAUCGACCGCCUGGGGAGUACGGCCGCAAGGUUAAAACUCAAAUGAAUUGACGGGGGCCCGCACAAGCGGUGGAGCAUGUGGUUUAAUUCGAUGCAACGCGAAGAACCUUACCUACUCUUGACAUCCAGAGAACUUUCCAGAGAUGGAUGGGUGCCUUCGGGAACUCUGAGACAGGUGCUGCAUGGCUGUCGUCAGCUCGUGUUGUGAAAUGUUGGGUUAAGUCCCGCACGAGCGCAACCCUUAUCCUUUGUUGCCGGCGAUUCGGUCGGGAACUCAAAGGAGACUGCCGGUGAUAAACCGAAGAAAGGGGGGGAUGACGUCAAGUCAUCAUGGCCCUUACGAGUAGGGCUACCC